AUUGAACGCUGGCGGCAUGCCUAACACAUGCAAGUCGAACGGUAACAGGCCUUCGGGCGCUGACGAGUGGCGGACGGGUGAGUAAUGCAUAGGAAUCUGCCCAUUAGUGGGGGACAACUCGGGGAAACUCGAGCUAAUACCGCAUACGCCCUACGGGGGAAAGCGGAGGACCUUUCGGGGCUUCGCGCUAAUGGAUGAGCCUAAGUCGGAUUAGCUUGUUGGUGAGGUAAAGGCUCACCAAGGCGACGAUCCGUAGCUGGUCUGAGAGGACGAUCAGCCACACUGGGACUGAGACACGGCCCAGACUCCUACGGGAGGCAGCAGUGGGGAAUAUUGGACAAUGGGCGAAAGCCUGAUCCAGCAAUGCCGCGUGUGGAAGAAGGC
rnacentral:rRNA from 1 species